AAUCAACGCUGGCGGCGUGCCUCAGACAUGCAAGUCGAACGAUUAAAGCUCUCUUCGGAGAGUGUAUAGAGUGGCGCACGGGUGAGUAACACGUAAGUAAUCUACCUUUGAGUGGGGAAUAACCCGGGGAAACCCGAGCUAAUACCGCAUAAUGCAGCGGCACCGCAAGGUGACAGUUGUCAAAGGAGCAAUCCGACUUAAAGAGGAGCUUGCGGCAGAUUAGCUAGUUGGUAAGGUAAUGGCUUACCAAGGCUUCGAUCUGUAUCCGGCCUGAGAGGGCGGUCGGACACACUGACACUGAAUAACGGGUCAGACUCCUACGGGAGGCAGCAGGUCGGGUAA
rnacentral:rRNA from 1 species